GCACCUGUGGUGGAAUGGCAGACACGGCGGAUUUAGGUUCCGCUGCGAAAGCGUGGGGGUUCGAGUCCCCCCAGGUGCACCA
rnacentral:tRNA from 1 species